rnacentral:rRNA from 1 species
GACGAACGCUGGCGGCGUGCCUAACACAUGCAAGUCGAACGGAAAGGCCCUGCUUUUGUGGGGUGCUCGAGUGGCGAAAGGGUGAGUAACACGCGUGUAACCCGCCCCUGACUUUGGGAUAACUUCAGGAAACUCGGGCUCAUACCGGGUAGGAUCUCCUUCCGCACGGUGGGGGUUGGAAAGUUUCGGCGGUUGGGGAUGGACUCGCGGCUUAUCAGCUUGUUGGUGGGGUAGUGGCUUACCAAGGCUUUGACGGGUAGCCGGCCUGAGAGGGUGACCGGCCACAUUGGGACUGAGAUACGGCCCAGACUCCUACGGGAGGCAGCAGUGGGGAAUAUUGCACAAUGGGCGGAAGCCUGAUGCAGCAACGCCGCGUGCGGGAUGACGGCCUUCGGGUUGUAAACCGCUUUCGCCUGUGACGAAGCGUGAGUGACGGUAAUGGGUAAAGAAGCACCGGCUAACUACGUG